UCACAUGAGUUCUUCAGGGUAUUAGGAA
rnacentral:piRNA from 1 species